AAGUGCUACUAUAAAAGUUAGGGUGCCAAAUUUGGAGGUUUAUGAAAAUUAGGAGACCAAAAAUACAAUUUAACUUUUUUUUCUUUUUUUUUUUUAGUCCAUAAUAAUAACCUACAUUGCAUAUAUGUUGCACCUUAAAAAAAUUGUCUCAAUACAAUAUAAUUUUGUGUCUUUUUUAAUAAAAAUGUUAAUAUUUUUACUCUUUUUGUAUUUUAAAACGAGACCUACUUAUUAUCAUUCUUUUUUUUUUUACUCCUUUUGAUCAUGAGACAAUCAAAUGGAGGAAAUAAUUUUUUCCUUAUUCCUUUAAUUUAACUCAAUAUUUCUUUUAUCUUCUUUUCUACUAAUUCAAACAAUGCGUUGAAGUUGGGGGUUAGGUUGUGCAUGGUUAUUGCAUUCUUUGACUUCAAAACAACAUUUGCUUGUAGAAAAAUGGUGACGUUAUGUGGUUUUAUAUUUCUAAGAAAAUUAUUAAUUGCAAUGUUUCUUCAAAAUGAACCACUAAAACCACUAAAGCUAAUGAUUCAUGUCUAGGUACAUUAUUUCUAACACUAAAAUGUUCACUCACAAAAUAGAUCUUAGAUUCGAAUUCAGUAACCACUCAAUUAUUUAUCAAGUCGUGGAUCUUAAAUUCGGUAAGGAUCAAUGAAUAAAUCAGCCAUUCAGAAAAUAACAAAGUGAAAA
rnacentral:lncRNA from 1 species